CUCGCUCAUACCGUUCUACUGCAGUGACCAGCGUCUCUAUUGAUGAUGAGAUGUUGAUUGUUAAUAAUAAACAAUAGUUAAGCAGCUGAAAUGCUUUAACCGUCCUAUCUGAAAAGUCUAAGAGACAGAACAGAUAUGAAAUAUGGUGACAGCGGAGACGAACUUGUCGGCAGGAAAAUGACUUUCGCCGUCGAGAGGCUGUGAGUAGCAAACUUGGAAGUGACUCGCCAACAGUGAGCUAUGUAGCUAUAUAGCAAGAAGGCCACCUAAACGGGUGACGCAGAGAGAAACCACGUUGCAAGAUGGAAAGCGCGCUUGGAUUAAAACCACCAACAACCUGGCGAAGAGCUGGACAUCGUGGAAAGAGGAGUUGACACUCUACCUGGUUCUUACUACACUAGAGGAUGCGGAGGAGACCGUGAAAGUGAAACUUUUCUACCAUCUCAUUGGAGAGAGUGGUAGGAAGCUGUGUGAGACAAUGACGUGUUCAAUGUCCGCGAGGUCGUCAGUGAACCAGUUUAUUGAGGCGUUUGACACGCAUUGCAACCCAAAAUUGAAUGAGACUGUUGAGAGGUCAAGGAACUGAUGAAGGAGACGAUAGGAAACUACAAAAUCCAGAUUGACCACAAGGUGGAGCCAGUGAAACUACCUAAAAGAAGAGUUCCAGUCGCAAUGAUGAAGCCAUUGAAAGAAGGCAGAGCAGCCUUCAGGACAGGAGGAUUAUUACACCGGUGGAGAAAAGAACCCGAUUGGAUAAGCAGCCUUGUGAUUGUGAAGAAACCAAAUGGUAAACUGAGAAUAUGUAUAGACCCCAGACCAUUGAACAAGGCACUAAAGAGAAGUCACUUUCCUCUACCUCUAUAGAUGCAUUCUUACUGGACCUUUUUAAAAGAAAGAGUAUUCACAGUGUGUGACGUCAAGAAUGGUUUCUGGCACAUACAGCUAGAAGAAGAGUCAAGCUAUCUGACAACAUUCUCUACACCGUGUGGCAGGUACAGAUGGUUGAAGAUGCCGAUGGGGAUUAGCCCGGCACCUGAAAUGUUCCAAAGGAAAUUGUAAGAGCAAUGAAGAAGGGUCGUGGCUGGGUCUUCCAGCAUGACAACGACCCGAAACACACAGCCAGGGCAACUAACGAGUGGCUCCGUAAGAAGCAUCUCAAGGUCCUGGAGUGGCCUAGCCAGUCUCCAGACCUGAACCCAAUAGAAAAUCUUUGGAGGGAGCUGAAAGUCCGUAUUGCCUGCCCAGCGACAGCCCCGAAACCUGAAGGAUCUGGAGAAGGUCUGUAUGGAGGAGUGGGACAAAAUCCCUGCUGCAGUGUGUGCAAACCUGGUCAAGAACUACAGGAAACGUAUGAUCUCUGUAAUUGCAAACAAAGGUUUCUGUACCAAAUAUUAAGUUCUGCAUUUCUGAUGUAUCAAAUACUUAUGUCAUGUAAUAAAAUGCAAAUGAAUUACUUAAAAAUCAUACAAUGUGAUUUUCUGAAUUUUAGAUUACGUCUCUCACAGUUGAAGUGUACCUAUGAUAAAAAUUACAGACCUCUACAUGCUUUGUAAGUAGGAAAACCUGCAAAAUCGGCAGUGUAUCAAAUACUUCUUCUCCCCACUGUAUAACAUUGAGGUUACAUAUGUUCCUGGGAAGGACAUGUUGCUUGCCGAUACUCUGAGCUGAGCAUACUUACCAGGAAGUACCACAGAAGGAUCAGUUGAAGCUGAAAUAAUUGAAAGCAUUGUGGCCCAAUACCUACACAUCUCAGAGGAGAGGCUCAAAGCUAGUCGCUCUGAAACCACAAAAGACAAGAAAAUGCAGACACUGACACAGACCAUUCAGUCGGGAUGGCCAAAGAAGAAAAUGGAUACACAGAAAGAUGUCAUACACUACUACUCAUUUCAAGACGAACUGAGUGUUCAAGUUGGAAUCAUAUUCAGAGGAGAAAGAGCAGCUAUUCCAGACACACUCAGAGGUGAAAUAACUAACCGGAUUCACUUUUCUCACAUUGGGAUUGAAGGAUGCCUCAGGAGGGCAAGAUAAUGUGUAUACUGGUAAGGCAUGAACGAACAGGUUAGGACAUUCAUAGAAAAGUGUGACGUCUGCAGGAUGCAAAAUAACAAAAAGAGACACUUUGUCCACAUGAGCUGCCUAGCCGACCAUGGGAAAAGAUAGGCACAGACCUGUUAACCUUUGACAACAGAGAUUAUCUGAUUACUUUCCAACUUCUGGGAAAUUGACUACUUACCUGUCCACUACUGUGAUCCGCAACCUUAAAUCACACUUUGCAAGGGAUACCAGACGUCUGUUUCUCUGAUAAUGGACCUCACUAUUCCUCCCAUGAUUUCAAAAGAUUCGGUGAACUGUAGGAAUUCGAACACAAGACCUCGUCACCUGAUUACCCUCAAAGUAACGGGAAAGCAUAGUCAUCCGUUAAGGGGAGGCAGGUAGCCUAGUGGUUAGAGCGUUGGACUAGUAACUGAAAGGUUGCGAGAUCGAAUCCCUGAGCUGACAAGGUGAAAAUCUGUCGUUCUGCCCCUGAAUAAGGCAGUUCACCCACUGUUCCUAGGCCGUCAUUGAAAAUAAGAAUUUGUUCUUAACGGACUUGCCUACUUAAAUAAAGGUAAAAAAAAAUCAAAUAAGACGGCAAAACGUCUGAUGCUGAAUGCCAAAACAGCAGGCAAAGACCCUUACCUGACUAUAGUGGAUCAUCGCAAUGACACGUGUUGUUGUUUUGUCUCUGCACUCCAGCACUUUGGAUUUGAAAUGAUACAAUGACUAUGAGGUUAAAGUACAGACUGUCAGCUUUAAUUUGAGGGUAUUUUCAUCCAUAUCGGGUGAAGUGUAGAGAAAUUACAGCGCUUUCGCGACAUAGUCCUCCCAUUUUAGGGGACCAAAAGUAUUGGUGUGUAUUAACGUAGUCAAAAGUUUCGAAUUUGGUCCCAUAUUCCUAGCAUGCAGUGAUUACAUCAAGCUUGUGACUCUACAAAACUUAGAUGUAUUUGUUGUUUGUUUUGGUUGUGUUUUAGAUUAUUGUGUGCCGAAUAGAAAUGAAUGGUAAAUAAUGUAGUGUCAUUUUGGAUUCACUUUUAUUGUAAAUAAGAAUAGAAUGUUUCUAUACUUAACUAAAAUAUAAACACAACAUGCAACAAUUUCAACAAUUUGACUGAGUUACAGUUCAUAUAAGGAAAUCUGUCAAUUGAAAUAAAUAAAUUAAGCCCUGAUCUAUGGAUCUUACAUGACUGGGCAGGGGCGCAGCCAUGGGUGGGCCUGGGAGGUUAUAGGCACACCCAGUUGGUAGCCAGUCCCCCCCCAGCUGUCCGGGUGGCUGGUGUCAGACGAUCCCGUAGCUGAAGAACCCAGAUGUGGGGUGGGGGGGGUCCUGAGCUGGUGUAUUUACACAUGGUGUGCAGUUGUGUGGCUGGUUGGAUGUACUGCCAAAUUCUCUAAAACGAGGUUGGAGAUGGCUCAUGGUAAACAAAUUAACAUUAAAUUAUCUGGCAACAGCUCUGGUGAACAUUCCUGCAGUCAGCAUGCCAAUUGCAUGCUCCCUCAAAACUUGAGACAUCUGUGGCAUUGUGUUGUGUGACAAAACUGCACAUUUUAGAGUGGCCUUUUAUUGUCCCCAGCACAAGGUGCACCUGUGUAAUGAUCAUGCUGUUUAAUCAGCUUCUUGAUAUGCCACACCGGUCAGGUGGAUGGAUUAUCUUGGCAAAGGAGAAAUGCUCACCAACAGGGAUGUAAAAACAAUUAUUUACAACAUUUUAGAAAAAUAUGCUUUUUGUGCGUAUGGAAAUUUCUGGGAUAUUUUAUUUCAGCUCAUGAAACAUGGGACUAACACUUUACAUGUUGCGUUUAUAUUUUGGUCAGUAUACAUUAAUGUGAAUGCUACCAUAAUUACGGAUAGUCCUAAAUGAAUCGUGAAUAAUGAUGAGUGAGAAAGUUAGACGCACAAUAUCAUACCCCACCCAAAAAUGCUAACCUCUCCUGUUAUGGUAAUAGGGAAAGGUUAGCAUGUCUUCGGGGUACGAUAUUUGAAUUCAGGCUGUAACACAAAAUGUGAAAUAACACAACUUGAUGGCAGUAGCUAACUACUGUAGCUAUAUAGCCAGCAAGCGAAAUAAUUGCAAAUGGGUUAGCAUCUAAAUACUAUCACGUUAGGAACGUAUUUCCUCCAAUGAAAAGGUGCCUUGGUCCCAAAACACACUUUUUCUGGAGACUUGUGGGCAGAGUGCUGAUGACGUCUCCCACUGUAUGCACUUUUGGUAGCCUGAUUGCAUCCAGACUGAGGAGAAAUCUGCACAAAAUGAGUCCCUGACCCCCUCCUGAGGUGGUCGGACAGAUCUGAACACAAUCAAACCACAAAGCAACUUUUGUGCAUCUAGACCUGUCUUUUCAAUGUGAUCUUCGUAUUCGGAUAGCAGAAGUUGCAUGUACGUGUCAAAGUGUAGACACGGCCUGAUAUGAUUGUAUCCUGCGGUAUGAGCCUCUUGUCUUCCUACCCUAGGCUGAGUUAGCAGUUAAGCCCUGGGCUCCACUUUAUCAACUCAGAUCACCCCUCUCUGUCUAUCUCUACUUGCCAAAGAGGUUAGCUCACUCCUUCCUACUGUUAACACUUUAUGUGUAGUUUGUGACAAGAUAUACUAUGCGUCAGUAGGGGCUAUUUUUUGUGUACAACACCAAAUGAGCAAUCCAUUAUUUAUUAAUAGUCUGCUCUGCACUAUUUUAGCGUGGCCUGGCUCUUACUACGCGUUAUCUCGCCUUUCACGCUGAAUACGUUCAGCCACGGGGUAUAAUGGCGGCUGGUCCUCCCUUUCUAGUUGACCAGACAACAGCCUCACGGGUGAGUCACACUCGCUAAGUAUAGGGUGUCAGCUAAGACUAAUUUCAUGAAAUUAAUUCUUAGCUGAAAGCAGGGGUUCAGCACUUUGUCAUUCAGUGCUCCUUUUGUGUGUUUUUUACAGUUACCCUCAAGCUCCUCUGUGGUUUCCUGAUCGAGCCCACAAUAUGGUCUGACUGCGGGACACCUAAGGUGAACCCCCUGAGCAUGUAGUUGUUAUAAUGCUACAUUUCUUCUUCAGCACUUAAUUCAUCAAAUCAUUUAACUAGUUAUUGAAAACCAGUAACACUUCUUUUUGGGUUCCACAGUUUCAUCAUUUAUGGAUUUUAUAGUUUUUUUUUAUAUACCAAUUGCAAUGCAGUAGCUUCUAACAACAGUAAUCUAUUUAUUUUCUUACCUAACCCAACAAAUAAUUUUAACUUCUAAUACAACAAUCAUCAAAAUAAAAGCUAGACUGUCAGGGAGAACUGAUAAUUCAAAAAACAAUUAAUUUAGCAGUAUUGAUUUUGUUAUUAUUCUUGCGCAAAAUAACACUGCAUUAGCUAUGGCGAAAUGCAUAGAACUGCAGGAAAUUAGCUUUAAAAUGUUAACAAUUUCUCUUAGCUUUAUGGAGAAAUUUGUAGAAUUGCAGGAAACUGGCUUAAAUAUUUUUUUUAAAUGAUCAAAUGAGUUAAAUUGAAAACUGAAAUACCUUACCUACAUAAGUAUUCAGACCCUUUGCUAUGAGACUCAAAAUUGAGCUCAGGUGCAUCCUGUUUCCAUUGAUCAUCCUUGAGAUGUUUCUGUUUCUGUUUCUAACUUGAUUGGAAUCCACCUGUGGAAAAUUAAAUUGUUUGGACAUGAUUUGGAAAGGUACACACCUGUCUACAUAAGGUAUGACAGUUGACAGUGCAUGUCAUCGCAAAAACCAAGGCAUGAGGUCGAAGGAAUUGUCCAUAGAGCUCCGAGACAGUAUUGUGUCGAGGCACAGAUUUGGGGAAGGGUACCAAAACAUUUCUGCAGCAUUGAAGGUCCCCAUAAACACAGUGGCCUCCAUCAUUCUUAAAUGGAAGAACUUUGGAACCACCAAGACUCUUCCUAGAGCUGGCCACCCGGCCAAACUGAGCAAUCGGGGCAGAAGUGCCUUGGUCAGGGAGGUGACAAAGAACCCGAUGGUUACUCUGACAAAGCUCUAGAGUUCCUCUGUGGAGAUGUCCUUCUGGAAGGUUCUCACAAGCAUCUCUGCAUCACUCCACUAACCAGGCCUUUACUGUAGAGUGGCCAGACGGAAGCCACUCCUCAGUAAAAGGCACAUGACAGCCCGUUUGGAGUUUGCCAUAAGGCACCUAGAGGAUUCUCAACCCAUGAAAAACAAGAUUCUCUGGUCUGAUGAAACCAAGAUUGAACAAUUUGGCAUGAAUGCCAAGCGUCACGUCUGGAGGAAACCAGGCACCGCUCAUCACCUGGCCAAUACCAUCCCUACUGUGAAGCAUGGUGGUGGCAGCAUCAUGCUGUGGGGAUGUUUUUCAGUGGCAGGCACUGGGAGACUAGUCAGAAUCAAGGGAAAGAUUAACGGAGAAAACCUGCUCAGGACCGCAGACUGGGGGCGAAGAUUCAUCCUUUCAACAGGACAACGACCCUAAGCACACAGCCAAGACAACGCAGGAGUGGCUUUGGGACAAGUCUGAAUGUCCUUGAGUGGCCCAGCCAGAGGCCGGACUUGAACCCGAUCGAUCAUCUCUGGAGAGACCUGAAAAUAGCUGUGCAGCAACGCUCCCCAUACAACCUGACAGAGCUUGAGAGGAUCUGCAGAGAAGAAUUGGAGAAACUCCCCAAAUACAGGUGUGCCAAGCUUGUAGCAUCAUACCCAAGAAGACUCGUGACUGUAAUCGCUUCCAAAGAUGCUUCAACAAAGUACUGAGUAAAGGGUCUAAAUACUUAUAUAAAUGUGUUAUAUAUAUAUUUUUUUUAUUUAUCAGUCGAAAAUCAUGUUUUUGUUUUGUCAUUAUGGUGUAUUGUGUGUAGAUUGAGGGGAAAAAACAAUUUGAUCAAUUUUCGAAUAAGGGUGUAAUGUAACAAAAUGUGGAAAAAGAGAAGGGGUCUGAAUACUUUCCGAAUGCAUUGUAACAAAGUAUGCUCGUCUGUUUUUUUGUGUUUUGUUGCUAUACAUUUUAUCGUAAUUUUUAUUUUUGGGGGGCUGGUAAAACAUUUGAGUAGUGGGUCGAUUUUUUUAGAUGUUUAUUUUAUGCCCUGGUAUAUACCGUAUACCGGGGUAUUUGGAAAUAUCCACGGUAUGGUUUUUCAAUACCUUCAAUAGCGUUGAAACUAUUUAUUUGUAGCUACUUUUUAAGUAAAUACCUGCAGUAAACUUGUGCAAUACGUUAGGCGAUAAAGCAGAUCGCAUUCUUCAUUUCACUGGUCACACCGUCUUUGUUUACAAGCACACAAUGACCAGAGACCCGGAGCCUUGAGUCACAGCAUGCGCCAGGUGAUCUAGUUACAGUAUGGAAUUCACAACUAAAUGUUUACCAACUAGAUGGCUUAUAACUAAGUUAAUGGUUUAAAAUGUGCUAAAUGCUCUGCAGUUGUGCAUUUGGUUUGCUAAUUCAGUAGCUUGUUAUCUAGCUAGGUAAGUGGUUUGCUUCUUACCUGCAUAUAGCUUGAAUUCUUGUAUUUAAUUUUUUCUUGUGUUUCUCAUGUGUUUUCUUACCUAUAUUAUUACAUAUAUUAUUUCCUCUCACCUUGAUAUUGAAUACUGCAUUGUUGGGAAAGAGCUUGCAAGUAAACAUUUUACUGUACUGUUUUACACCUGCUGCUGUAUCCUGGUGCACGUGACAAAUACACUUUGAAACUUAAAAUGUG